CCUACGGGUGGCAGCAGUGAGGAAUAUUGGUCUAUGGGCGUAAGCCUGAACCAGCCAAGUCGCGUGAGGGAUGAAGGUUCUAUGUAUCGUAAACCUCUUUUAUAAGGGAAUAAAGUGUGGGACGUGUCCUGUUUUGUAUGUACCUUAUGAAUAAGGAUCGGCUAACUCCGUGCCAGCAGCCGCGGUAAUACGGAGGAUCCGAGCGUUAUCCGGAUUUAUUGGGUUUAAAGGGUGCGUAGGCGGCCUUUUAAGUCAGCGGUGAAAGUCUGUGGCUCAACCAUAGAAUUGCCGUUGAAACUGGGAGGUUGGAGUAUGUUGGAGGCAGGCGGAAUGCGUGGUGUAGCGGUGAAAUGCUUAGAUAUCACGCAGAACCCCGAUUGCGAAGGCAGCCUGCCAAGCCAUGACUGACGCUGAUGCACGAAAGCGUGGGGAUCAAACAGGAUUAGAUACCCGUGUAGUC
rnacentral:rRNA from 1 species